AGAGUUUGAUCCUGGCUCAGGACGAACGCUGGCGGCGUGCUUAACACAUGCAAGUCGAACGGAAAGGCCCUUUCGGGGGUGCUCGAGUGGCGAACGGGUGAGUAACACGUGGGUGAUCUGCCCUGCACUUCGGGAUAAGCUUGGGAAACUGGGUCUAAUACCGGAUAGGACUACAAGGCGCAUGUUUUGUGGUGGAAAGCUUUUUGCGGUGUGGGAUGGGCCCGCGGCCUAUCAGCUUGUUGGUGGGGUGAUGGCCUACCAAGGCGACGACGGGUAGCCGGCCUGAGAGGGUGUCCGGCCACACUGGGACUGAGAUACGGCCCAGACUCCUACGGGAGGCAGCAGUGGGGAAUAUUGCACAAUGGGCGCAAGCCUGAUGCAGCGACGCCGCGUGGGGGAUGACGGCCUUCGGGUUGUAAACCUUCUUUC
rnacentral:rRNA from 1 species